rnacentral:rRNA from 1 species
UAAUACAUGCACGAAAGCUCUGACUUUACGGACGAGCGCAUUUAUUAGAACAAAACCAAUCGAAUGCAUUAGUGUGUUUGUGGUUUGGUGAAUCUGAAUAACUGAGCCGAUCGCACGGUCAUAGCACCGGCGACGCAUCUUCCAAGUGUCUGCCUUAUCAACUUUCGAUGGUAGUUUAUGUGCCUACCAUGGUUGUAACGGGUAACGGAGAAUAAGGGUUCGACUCCGGAGAGGGAGCCUGAGAAACGGCUACCACAUCCAAGGAAGGCAGCAGGCGCGCAAAUUACCCACUCUCGGCACGAGGAGGUAGUGACGAAAAAUAACGAGACAGUUCUCUAAGAGGCCUGUCAUCGGAAUGAAAACAAUCUAAACCUUUUAAUGAGGACCUAUGAGAGGGCAAGUCUGGUGCCAGCAGCCGCGGUAAUUCCAGCUCUCAAGGUGUAUAUCGCCAUUGCUGCGGUUAUAAAGCUCGUAGUUGGAUCUUCGCCUUCGGCUUCGGUCCUUUCAAUGAAAGCGCACUGAACGCCAAGGCUAAAAUGCCGGUUUUGCGCGAUGCUCUUGACUGAGUGUCGUGUGUGGCUGGCGAGUUUACUUUGAAAAAAUUAGAGUGCUCAAUACAGGCUUAACGCUUGAAUACUGGUGCAUGGAAUAAUAAAAUAGGAUUUCGGUCCAUUUUGUUGGUUUUGGGAACUGAAAUAAUGGUUAAGAGGGACAGACGGGGGCAUUCGUAUCGUUGCGUGAGAGGUGAAAUUCUUGGACCGCAGCGAGACGAACAACUGCGAAAGCAUUUGCCAAGAAUGUC